AUUGUGCCACUUCAGCACAGGAAAAAAGUGAGAAAACACAUAGAUCUUCCUAGCUGAGGAUUCCCUUAGGAUAUGUCUUCACU